rnacentral:rRNA from 1 species
AUGCACGCUAGCGGGAGGCCUAACACAUGCAGGCCGAGCGGUAGAGUUUCUUCGGAACCUUGAGAGCGGCGCACGGGUGCGUAACACGUGUGCAACCUACCUUUAUCUGGGGGAUAGCCUUUCGAAAGGAAGAUUAAUACCCCAUAAUAUAAUGAUUGGCAUCAAUUAUUAUUGAAAACUCCGGUGGAUAGAGAUGGGCACGCGCAAGAUUAGAUAGUUGGUGAGGUAACGGCUCACCAAGUCAAUGAUCUUUAGGGGUCCUGAGAGGGAGAUCCCCCACACUGGUACUGAGACACGGACCAGACUCCUACGGGAGGCAGCAGUGAGGAAUAUUGGACAAUGGGUGAGAGCCUGAUCCAGCCAUCCCGCGUGAAGGAUGACGGCCCUAUGGAUUUAAACUUCUUUUGUACAGGGAUAAACCUACCCUCGUGAGGGUAGCUGAAGGUACUGUACGAAUAAGCACCGGCUAACUCCGUG